AUACGGAGGGGGCUAGCGUUGUUCGGAAUUACUGGGCGUAAAGCGCGCGUAGGCGGGCUGGUUAGUUGGGGGUGAAAUCCCGAGGCUCAACCUCGGAACUGCCCUCAAUACUGCCAGUCUUGAGUUCGAGAGAGGUGAGUGGAAUUCCUAGUGUAGAGGUGAAAUUCGUAGAUAUUAGGAAGAACACCAGUGGCGAAGGCGGCUCACUGGCUCGAUACUGACGCUGAGGCGCGAAAGCGUGGGGAGCAAACAGGAUUAGAAACCCGAGUAGUCC
rnacentral:rRNA from 1 species